AACAAGGCGUACCUGCGGACCUGCGGAAGGAUCAUUAACCUUUCAAAUCAGGGUGCGGCGCGGCCCCCGAGGAGCGGAAACAAUCCUUGGGAGGUAUGCGGGGGCUUCGAGCCCCCCAUUUACGCACGCACGACUGCCAUCCUUACUUUACGAGCACCUUCUGUUCUCCCUCGGCGGGGCAACCUGCCGUUGGAACCGAAUAAACUCUUUUUGCAUCUAGCAUUACCCGUUCCGAAACAA
rnacentral:misc_RNA from 1 species